UAGGGAAUCUUCCACAAUGGACGCAAGUCUGAUGGAGCAACGCCGCGUGAGUGAAGAAGGUUUUCGGACCGUAAAGCUCUGUUGUUGGUGAAGAAGGAUAGAGGUAGUAACUGGCCUUUAUUUGACGGUAAUCAACCAGAAAGUCACGGCUAACUACGUGCCAGCAGCCGCGGUAAUCGUAGGUGGCAAGCGUUGUCCGGAUUUAUUGGGCGUAAAGCGAGCGCAGGCGGAAGAAUAAGUCUGAUGUGAAAGCCCUCGGCUUAACCGAGGAAUUGCAUCGGAAACUGUUUUCUUGAGUGCAG
rnacentral:rRNA from 1 species